rnacentral:rRNA from 1 species
AUUGAACGCUGGCGGCAUGCCUUACACAUGCAAGUCGAACGGCAGCACGGGAGCAAUCCUGGUGGCGAGUGGCGAACGGGUGAGUAAUAUAUCGGAACGUGCCCAGUCGUGGGGAUAACGUAGCGAAAGCUACGCUAAUACCGCAUACGAUCUAUGGAUGAAAGCGGGGGAUCGCAAGACCUCGCGCGAUUGGAGCGGCCGAUAUCAGAUUAGGUAGUUGGUGAGGUAAAGGCUCACCAAGCCGACGAUCUGUAGCUGGUCUGAGAGGACGACCAGCCACACUGGGACUGAGACACGGCCCAGACUCCUACGGGAAGCAGCAGUGGGGAAUAUUGGACAAUAGGGCGAAAGGACCUGAUCCAGCAAUGCCGCCGUGAGUGAUGAA